rnacentral:tRNA from 1 species
UCUUAGGUAGCUCAAUGGUGGAGCAACCGGCUGUUAACCGGUAGGUUGUGGGUUCGAAUCCCACCCUGAGAGCCA